rnacentral:rRNA from 1 species
UGGUAAUGCGGGUGCUAUACAUGCAAGUCGAGCGAACAGACGAGGAGCUUGCUCCUUUGACGUUAGCGGCGGACGGGUGAGUAACACGUAGGUAACCUACCUAUAAGACUGGGAUAACUUCGGGAAACCGGAGCUAAUACCGGAUAAUAUUUCGAACCGCAUGGUUCGAUAGUGAAAGAUGGCUUUGCUAUCACUUAUAGAUGGACCUGCGCCGUAUUAGCUAGUUGGUAAGGUAACGGCUUACCAAGGCAACGAUACGUAGCCGACCUGAGAGGGUGAUCGGCCACACUGGAACUGAGACACGGUCCAGACUCCUACGGGAGGCAGCAGUAGGGAAUCUUCCGCAAUGGGCGAAAGCCUGACGGAGCAACGCCGCGUGAGUGAUGAAGGUCUUCGGAUCGUAAAACUCUGUUAUUAGGGAAGAACAAACGUGUAAGUAACUGUGCACGUCUUGACGGUACCUAAUCAGAAAGCCACGGCUAACUACGUGCCAGCAGCCGCGGUAAUACGUAGGUGGCAAGCGUUAUCCGGAAUUAUUGGGCGUAAAGCGCGCGUAGGCGGUUUUUUAAGUCUGAUGUGAAAGCCCACGGCUCAACCGUGGAGGGUCAUUGGAAACUGGAAAACUUGAGUGCAGAAGAGGAAAGUGGAAUUCCAUGUGUAGCGGUGAAAUGCGCAGAGAUAUGGAGGAACACCAGUGGCGAAGGCGACUUUCUGGUCUGUAACUGACGCUGAUGUGCGAAAGCGUGGGGAUCAAACAGGAUUAGAUACCCUGGUAGUCCACGCCGUAAACGAUGAGUGCUAAGUGUUAGGGGGUUUCCGCCCCUUAGUGCUGCAGCUAACGCAUUAAGCACUCCGCCUGGGGAGUACGACCGCAAGGUUGAAACUCAAAGGAAUUGACGGGGACCCGCACAAGCGGUGGAGCAUGUGGUUUAUUUCGAAGCAACGCGAAGAACCUUACCAAAUCUUGACAUCCUUUGACCCUUCUAGAGAUAGAAGUUUCCCCUUCGGGGGACAAAGUGACAGGUGGUGCAUGGUGGUCGUCAGCUCGUGUCGUG